rnacentral:piRNA from 1 species
AAUCAAUAAAUAGAACAAGGGACUU